GAGCAAAAGAGCUCCCCAGCCCAGCCCAGCCUAGCCCUUCCUGAUUCGCACAGAACAUUGAUUCAAGUCUCCUUUGUUGUUCUAAUGAUGAAGGUCAAUUAUAGGAUUGCCAAGAGAAGGUCUUAGGCUGCUCCACACAGGGGGAGACACCACCACCAGCGGGAGUGGUAUCUUGUACAUGUGGGUCACGAUGCAAGGAAGAAGAGAGCCAUUCUUUCAACUCUA